rnacentral:SRP_RNA from 2 species
GCCAGGCGUGGUGGUGUGCGCCUGUAAUCCCAGCUACUCGGAGGCUGAGGUAGGAGAAUCACUUGAACCCAGGAGACAGAGGUUGCUGUGAACCGAGAUCGUGCCACUGAACUCCAGCCUGGGCAACAGAGCGAGACUCUGUCUCAA